UUACCUUGCAUUUGAGCUUCUGGAGGUCGGACGGGAGAUCAUGGGAAAGGCGCGAGUCCAUUCCGCGUAGCAGCAGCACGCCGUCGCGGCGGAGCUGGAAAAUGUCGAUCGGUAAACAUCCAAGCAUCGAUUUCUUGGCUUGAAUUUGGCCUACCUUUCGGGUGUAGUGCGAUUUAAUCCAGUCAGGGCUUGCGUGUAGCGGCAUAUUGCUCUCCACCGCUGGCCUCGCCACGACGUGCGUCGAUGGGAGCGACGAGACGAUCCUGAUGUCGUCUCUCAAGAUCCUCUUGAAGUGCUCCACAUCGAAAAUCUCCGAGAAUUCGCUGCGAUGGAAAAGCUCCUUUGGUGGGAAAUUUUGUCAAAGAUUUUUUGCUAGCGCCUACCUCUCAUCGCCCCAAAUCUGGUUGACUUGCAGCACUGGAAUCACAAGCGCGGCCUCGAGAAUCCUGGCGAUGAGCACGGCGUCGACGAUCUGGUUCCUCUGUUGAUUCAAUCCUCCGUUCACGACCACCAUGAGAUACUUCCUCCUCUGCCGGAU
rnacentral:lncRNA from 1 species